rnacentral:rRNA from 1 species
GACGAACGCUGGCGGCGUGCUUAACACAUGCAAGUCGUACGGUAAGGCCCUUUCGGGGGUACACGAGUGGCGAACGGGUGAGUAACACGUGAGUAACCUGCCCACCACUUUGGGAUAACGCUAGGAAACUGGUGCUAAUACUGGAUAUGUGCUACUGCUGCAUGGUGGGGGGUGGAAAGCUCCGGCGGUUGUGGGUGGACUCGCGGCCUAUUAGCUGGUUGGUGGGGUAGUGGCCUACCAAGGCGGCGACGGGUAGCCGGCCUGAGAGGGUGACCGGCCACAUUUGGACUGAGAUACGGCCCAGACUCCUACGGGAGGCAGAAGUGGGGAAUAUUGCACAAUGGGCGCGAGCCUGAUGCAGCAACGCCGCGUGCGGGAUGACGGCCUUCGGGUUGUAAACCGCUUUCAGCAGGGACGAAGCUUUUUGUGACGGUACCUGCAGAAGAAGCACCGGCUAACUACGUG